UGAUUUAAUUAUUAAAUUCUUUAUUAUUUUUAAUUUGGAAUUGCAAUUUGAAAGCACUAUGACACCAGCGAGAUGAGAACCGCUGACAAUACGGAAUCGCUAAGAAAAGCGUACGAUUUUAAUCGCGGGGUUUGUGCUCUCUGGGCUCUGGGACAUUGCGAACAGAUACCACGAGUAACAACGACCGCAGUGUUCGGAUAGUAUACAUAUAGUGUGGACCAGUCAACGGCGGAUGUCCCACUAGGAGAACAAAUCGCUCGGAGGUAGAAAGAAAAACGAGAAAAAUUGGAAAUUAUUUUAUCACUCAAUGGAUUUAAGAGUGAAACUUUUUCAAAGAUGAACCGCAAAGAAGCGUAACUACGAAGAAUGCAUGUGAAACGGUCAUGGGAACAUGGAGUAGAAUCUUAAAGAUAAUAAAAAGUGACAGUGUGCUAGAAAGGUAAUCAAAAUUCUAACAGCUUGCGAAUUGUAUCGAGUCCUCUUCCUUACGACUUUUUUUUUGUUUUGAACAUUAAAAUUGUUACCAAAAUUCUACAAGUAGUGCAAGUAAUUUCUCUUAAUUAAAUACAAAUACAUAUCAAAACAUGUGUUUGCAUAAACGUAGUGCCAUGAUUGAAUCAUCAAUUGGACGUAUUUAUAAUAUUAUGUCUAUUCUGAGAUUCUUUGUGCUCUUUCUAUUUCUUGAAACGAAACUGACAAAAGAUUUCACUUUUAAACCAGUCCGAACUAACGAAGCUCUACUAAGACGACUCCAUUCCCACGCAAGAACGAUUAUAUCAACUAAAUUCAACAAAUCCCUGAUCAGACACCAACUUAAUGAAUCUCAUCGAAGCUACAACGAAUCUAGUUUCCAUCGCAGACAGUUGUCCAUUUAUUAAACGGUACGUGCAAUACUACAAAUCAUGUUUCAUAUUCUUAAUUACACAAGCUGGUCACAAAUGGAUUGUAAUUUUUCAUGGAAGUUUCAUAGAAUGAAAGAAUCAUUCAAAUGUAUAAAUAAAAGCCUGUGUACAU